GUGCUUGCUUCAGCAGCAUAUAUACUAAAAUUGGAACAACGACACAGAGAAGAUUAGCAUGGUCUCUGCGCAAGGAUGGCACAAAAUCCUGUGAUCCUAGCUGAGUACUG